AGUACUCCUACUAUCCAGAACAACCUUCCAUAAAAAAAAAAGGAAUGCUCUAGAACAACCUAAAACCUCAAAACCCCAGUGGCGACGGAGCGAGGAGGGAGGGAGCGAUGGCGCCGAAGCGGAAGCCAGCGGAGCCGCCGAGGGACGCCGAGGGGAUAUUCCGCGGCGUCUCCGCCUUCUUCGUCCCCCACGGCGUGCAGCCCCGCCGCCUCGAGGUGUGGAAGCAGAAGCUGGUGCAGAUGGGGGGCCGCCUGGAGAAGAAGGACGCCGGCGCCAAGGGCGCCAGGAUCAACCACGUGCUCGCCGCCGACGCCAAGGCGCUGCUCCGGGAGCUCGGCGCCGACUGGCUUCACCGCUUCACGGGGAGCGUGGUGUCCUUCGAUUGGCUGGAGGAGUGCCUCAAGUCCGGCGAGAGGCUGCCCGAGCACAAGUUCACCAUCAACUACGAAGAGGAAUUUAAACCCAAAAAGGCAGCUGGUACAGGCGCGUCAAAUCCUGCAAAGAGGAGCAAAAUGUCAUCCGAGGAUCCUGAGAGUCACAAAGCAAUUAGUGGACAUGAUGGGAAGGAGGAGGUGGCUACCGGGGAGCAUCGAGACAAAACAAGUACACAUGUGCAUGAUGGUUCAGGUGUCGAAAAGGGGCCUGGCCAGUUUGCACAUAGCCAGACUAGCUCUGGGGAUACUAAGGAUACCGUAGGGUCUCUUGAUACUGAGGAAGCUUCUUCUGGGGAACCCACAACAUAUGCUCCACCAGACCUCAAUAGGAACAUCACUGAGAUUUUUGGAAAACUUAUCAACAUAUAUAGAGCCAUGGGAGAUGACCGGAGAUCAUUUAGCUAUUACAAGGCCAUUCCUGUAAUCGAGAAACUGCCAUUCAAAAUAGAAAGUGGCGACCAAGUUAAAAACCUCCCUGCCAUUGGGAAAUCUUUGAGAGACCAUAUUAAUGAAAUAGUGACAACAGGAAAGCUUUCCAAACUGGAACACUUUGAGAAUGAUGAAAAGGUACGGGCAGUCAGCCUAUUCGGUGAAGUUUGGGGUGUUGGUCCUGCAACUGCUCUUAAGUUAUAUGAUAAAGGACACCGUACUCUUGAUGACCUUCGGAAAGAUGACUCACUUACAUAUGCUCAGAGGACUGGCUUGAAAUUCUUUGAUGAUAUCAGACAAAGAAUCCCUCGGCAUGAGGUCAGUGAGAUGGAGAAGCUUUUGCAAGAAGUUGGGAAUGAUAUCUUGCCUGGAGUGACAAUUGUAUGCGGAGGAUCAUACAGACGUGGAAAAUCAUCUUGUGGUGACAUGGAUAUUGUAAUUACUCAUGAUGAUGGUAAAAGUCAUGUAGGUUUUCUGCCGAAGUUUGUUCAGAGGUUGAAGGACAUCAAUUUUUUAAGGGAGGACCUUAUCUUCAGCGUAAACAGUAUUGAGGGAACUGACAGCGGGGUUGACACAUAUUUUGGUCUUUGCACGUAUCCUGGGCGUGAGCUGCGGCAUCGCAUUGACCUCAAGUUCACUUCAUGUCGGCGUCUGCCGUUUGAUGUUGACAGGUAUACCCAAGGAACAGAUAUGCAUCCGGGCUGCUAGCCUGGACUGGAAAUGAUGUUCUAAAUCGACGAUUGAGAAUACUAGCAGAAUCAAAAGGCUACGUGCUUGAUGACACGGGUUUGUAUCUUGCUACACAGAGCAGUGGUGGAAAGCGCGCAGGGAGAUCAGAAGCUAUAGUUAACUGCCACGAGGAGAAGGACGUGUUCGACACGCUUGGGUUCCCCUACUUGGAACCUCAUGAACGAAAUCUAUAGUUCUGAAGGAAAAUGUAGCUUUGCCAAGCAUGUGUAGUUUUGCUUCUCCUUGUACCGCAGGCCGGCUGGUAGCUGUUUCCAAGGCUGUGCAGCAAACCUUUGUUGGAGACGGUAGUCUGGCAGGCUCGUACAUAGUUGUUGUUCUCUGUUGUACUGUAGGGCAGUAAGGAGAAUGUUGCUCAUGCCGCAUGAAUCUAUGGACAAGUUUCUAGCUAUUUUGUCGUACGACCGUUUUCUUU